rnacentral:rRNA from 1 species
AGUGAACGCUGGCGGUAGGCCUAACACAUGCAAGUCGAACGGCAGCACAGUAAGAGCUUGCUCUUACGGGUGGCGAGUGGCGGACGGGUGAGGAAUACAUCGGAAUCUACUUUUUCGGGGGGGAUAACGUAGGGAAAGUUACGCUAAUACCGCAUACGACCUACGGGUGAAAGCAGGGGAUAUUCGGACCUUGCGCGAUUGAAUGAGCCGAUGUCGGAUUAGCUAGUUGGCGGGGUAAAGGCCCACCCAGGCGACGAUCCGUAGCUGGUCUGAGAGGAUGGUCGGCCACACUGGAACUGAGACACGGUCCAGACCCCUACGGGAGGCAGCAGUGGGGAAUAUUGGACAAUGGGCGCGAGCCUGAUCCAGCCAUACCGCGUGGGUGACGAAGGCCUUCGGUUUGUAAAGCCCUUUUGUUGGGAAAGAACAGCAGCAGGUUGAUACCCCGCUGUUCUGACGGUACCCAAAGAAUAAGCACCGGCUAACUUCGUG